rnacentral:rRNA from 1 species
GUAGGGAAUAUUGGUCAAUGGACGCAAGUCUGAACCAGCCAUGCCGCGUGCAGGAUGAAGGCCCUCUGGGUUGUAAACUGCUUUUAUCAGGGAAGAAACCACCGGAUUCAUCUGGUGUUGACGGUACCUGAGGAAUAAGCACCGGCUAACUCCGUGCCAGCAGCCGCGGUAAUACGGAGGGUGCAAGCGUUAUCCGGAUUCACUGGGUUUAAAGGGUGCGUAGGUGGGAUUGUAAGUCAGUGGUGAAAGCCCCGGGCUCAACUUGGGAAUUGCCAUUGAUACUGCUUUCCUUGAGUGCGAUUGAGGUGAGUAGAAUAUGUCAUGUAGUGGUGAAAUACUUAGAUAUGACAUAGAAUACCGAUUGCGAAGGCAGCUCACUAAAUCGUAACUGACGCUGAGGCACGAAAGCGUGGGGAUCAAACAGGAUUAGAAACCCUUGUAGUCC